rnacentral:rRNA from 1 species
CUUACCUACGGGAGGCAGCAGUGAGGAAUAUUGGUCAAUGGCCGGGAGGCUGAACCAGCCAAGUCGCGUGAGGGAAGACGGCCCUACGGGUUGUAAACCUCUUUUGUCAGGGAGCAAGAGGCGGGUCGCGACCUGCUGGUAGAGUACCUGAAGAAAAAGCAUCGGCUAAAUCCGUGCCAGCAGCCGCGGUAAUACGGAGGAAGCUAGCGUUAUCCGGAUUUAUUUGGUUUAAAGGGUGCGCAGGCGGAG